rnacentral:lncRNA from 1 species
AAAGAUACUAUUUUAUUAGGAAUCAUGAGGAACUUCUCAAGCAUAGUUGUCUUUCUCUUUUCCCUUUUCAUUGUUCUCAGUAAGUUCCAUUUUAAUUUACAUAAUAUUUUCAAUUAAAUAAAAACAUAUAGUGACCUUAUGUAGAAUAAUUAGUUCAUCGUUUUUAGAACAAUAAUAAAGUAAAAUAUUUAUUAUAGUAUGUCUUGUAAAGUUUGCAAUAUUUUACUAAUUAAAGUAGAAUGACGAUAAGUUUUCAAAUUUAUAGGAUGUUAUUCUAUUCUUUUGUACAUGAUGGAAUGGUCUAACCGAAUUUUUGUUAUGAUGGAUCAUCCUACUAUUGUUUUGACUAUAGGUAAAAAUAAACGAUUAUUAUUAAAAAAAUGAAUAACCUUGAUUUGAUGUAAUCUAAUGAAGUGGUCACAUGAAUAUGUAAAAUUCACCUAUUAACAUUGUGGUCAUUGGUCACAAAUUUUAUUUCUCAUAGCGAAUUAAUUGUUUCUCCUUUCUUUCUUUUUCCAAACAAAUUAAGGCACUAAGUAGACAGGAAUGCAGGUUGAAGGAAAGGAAUGUCGAGUUCCGCUUCCAGGAGCUGUCAAACCUUGUGACCCAACAAAAUGCAACACACAAUGCUUUGAUAAGUACCAAAAUAAGCCUAAUCCUCCUGGUAUUACAGGAACACUUCUUGGAGGAAAUUGUUUAGAUGAUAGUUGUUCUUGCACCUUUUGGUGUUAAAUGUACUAUCCCUUAUAUCUAUUCAAAAAAUUCUAUAUUUGAUAUUUUUAAUGGAAUAAACCAAUAAUAUCUAUUGUUACAGUCAAAUUAUCAAGGUUGUAUUAAUUUUUUAUUAACUAAUUAACAAUAUGUGAAUCUUUGAAUCCAAAACAAAAUACUUUUGAUUUGUCAUAGAAUCUUCAAAUAUUUUAGGAAAACUUAUAUAGACUUUGAAAACAUUACUAAUUAAAAGAUUAAGCUAGAAAGUUUAAUUGUCUUGGAUACUGACACUUUUUACACUUCAUUGCACAAAUUAAUUAUACAUAAUGCUAUAGAUCUCAUUAUAAGAUAUUAUAUUAAAAUCAACCACACAAAAGUAUAAAAUGUUAAGUACCAAGAUAAGCCUAAUUCCCCUAGUAUUAAAGAAGCACUUCAUAGAUGAAAUUGUUUCGAGGACACUUUUCUUGAACCUUUUCGUGUUAAGUAUACUACUUCUAAACUACAUGAAAAAGUUCUUUUUCAAGUUAUUUUUUGAUAAAAUAAGUGAUAAUUCUGUCAUUUAAUAUUUGAAUUUUCAUUACUUUGAAGAAAAAAAUUAGCUUUGUUUGAAGCUUUUGAAUCAAAAUUAAUACUUCUAAAUUUGUCUUAAUAUAUUAAAAAUACUUCCAAAAAUGCUCGAAACAUUACUAAAUAAAAUAUUAAUCUCGACAAUCUUAAAUGUAUUUUGAUAUUGAAAUUAUUUAUUGUUGAUAAUGGUCAAUUACACCUGUAAAAGGUACAUAUGGUCAUUGUCAAUAUUUUUAACUCAACUUAGAGGUUGGGUCAAACCACAAAGAAUGAUUUUAAAAAGUUCACUUUAGAGUGUAAGUGGCUUAAUUAGUGCUUGUACAUAUUGAUUUAAAUUAUGAAAUGCUAUUGGGGGACUUUUGUAAGCAAUUUUGAUCGUAGUUAUAAUGUGAGUUGAAUUGCAAUGAAUAAGACAUGAAAGUAGCGGUCUACGAUAAAAGUAACUUGAGGAUCUAUUGUCAUAAAAGUAGAAUCAUAUGUGGGUGAAUAACAAUUUUUUUGAUUCAAUAAUAAAAACUAUGGGUAGGCUAUAUCUUGAGUAUUAAUGUUAAUCUCUCAAUUAAGAACGAAAUUUAAUAUGUGGGUUCUCUCAAAACUCCUUGUAUACGAUCUUGACCAAUCUAAAACCUUAAUUUGAUUGCAUUUUUUCUAUAAUCAUCCAUAAAAAGAUAUUAAUCUAGUCAUUGUUAAUCAUUAUCCCUCGCCCUUAUCCCCUAUCUCAAGAAAGAUAAAGAGUCUAAGCUUAAUUAUAGUUUGCAACAAACAUUUAUAAAUUGAAAAAUGGGAUAAUCAUGAAAUCCAUAGUAAACAAUCAACUAGAAAAACAAAUAUUUACUACCCAUGUAUGUAUUCUCCACAAGCUCCUAGAUAAGUUUCCAACAAUUUGUCAUAUGUUUUAAGACUCCAAAAUGAUUAUUUCAAACAUUAGAUAUAUGUCAUGACCAUUCACCUUGAGUAUGAAGUAUUUUCACUUUCCUUAUGCUUUGAGAUUUUUAAACUUCCUCAUGAAUUAUUUCAAACAUUAGAUAUAUGUCAUGACCAUUUGAUUUUUAAUUGAUUUUGAAUAAAUUGACUUUCUAGGGUCUAUACCCCCUUUCCUUAUGCUUUGAUAUUUUUAAACUUCCUCAUGAAUUGAACAUUAUUUUACAAAUGAUUUCAAGUUUACUUAUGUUUUUAUCCCUGAAAAUGAUCUUAAGAAUUUAGUUUGAUAUUUUUAUAUGAAGUUCUAUGAGAUGAUGAAUGAUUUCAAGUUUAAGCAUAAGUUACUAAGUUUAUAAGAAGUUCAAGUUUAUAAUUUUAAGAUACAUGUUUUACAGAAUUAUUAAAGUUCAUUUUUGAUCUUAUGAUAUCAGAUAAGGCAAGAAAUCCACAAGUUUCCUCAUGAAUAUGAUUUAAGUAAAAGAAGCAUUGUUGGUUUUUUUAGUUUAUAAACUCAUAUGCUAUUUUAAGGUAGAUUUAACAAGUAUAAGCAUACAAGUGUGUAUGUUGGGAGUAGUAUUUAGCAUCAAAAUGGGAAUGUGGGUUUAGCGCAUCUUACUUCCCAGAAACCACAUGCCACCGUAGGUUUAAGGGCCUUGCUAGAGAUUGUUUGUCUUGCCCAAUAAGGGCUCAGUUUAGUGAUCACUCUAAGUUAAGGUUCCCUUCCAAUGGAAAUGGUAGAACAACUCUCCUCAACGUGGGUAUGAUGCUGGAGUCCAUAAUAGCUAACAUGGUUUAUAUCGAUUAUAAGAAUCUCCCAUAAAAGUAAAGAUUUUAGAAACUAAGUAUAAUGACUUACUAAGCUUAUUAGAUUAUUCUUCAUUAUUCAUCUUUUAUGAUAUUUUAGCUUUCAAUUUUUAUUCAUAUUAAAGGUGAGUCUUUUGACACUUAGCACACAUGAUUUUAAAGUAUGUUCAACUAAAAUGUUCCUUAUUGCAUUCAAUCCCACAUACUCGGUAUAUUUUUUAAGUAUUGGCCACAUAUUCGUCUAUGUGGCUAAAUUAUUUCAUAAUGUAGGUACCAGUUAUAGCCCACACAUCAUAAUUAGAUAGUUCGUAGCUUCCAUCCAGCAGGUGAUGAGUUCUUUUGAUUGGAGGAAUCAAGUCAACCAUAGUUCUAGUAUCAUUUUUAUCCAAUUGUAUUGAUUAGGGAUAGAUCGGGGUCAUGUCCUGACUACCCAUAGUCAGUAUUAGUAGAUGCUUCAUAGAUAGUCAGUUAGAGUUGAUAUAUUCAAAUUUCAAUUUUUGUUUUGUAUAACCAGAGUAUAACUAUUUUAAACAAUUUUUAUUGAAUAUGUUCAGCUAAAGAUAUUUCUUAUGCUUACUACUUCUAAUUUUAUGUAUUUUAUUCAAUUUCUCAUGAGUUCUGCCAAUCUCAUGGUUUAGCAUUGGAUCACUUGUGGUUCUAAGCAUUGUGUGACAUCAAGAGGGUAGUCUCGGACAUUACAAACCUAGUAUUAGAGCACAGAGUUUAUGAUUCCUAGGAUGUCUGUGAAGCCAUAUCUAGCAGAGUCUUGCAGAACGGUACAAAGACGUUUGUACUUUAUUUUAGAGGUUAUUGGGCAUUUAAGAAAUAGAUCCCUUCUUCAUGCUCCAGAUCAUGCAGCAAAGUUGUUCUCUCAAAAACUUCUGUCACUUCAUGUGUUACACCAUAAUUCUCCAUAUAUGAGUUACUCUUGCGAUAAUAUGAGUAGUAUAUUUUAAUCCUCUCGAGAUGAUGCACUCAAAUUUACUAUCAGUAACUUCAGAAAUCACAUAAAGGAGGUUUAGAGGAGCCCGCUAGUAUGUUUAAAAUCCUUCAAUUUUAAAGUCUAUGUUUUAAUCCAUUUGAAUUGUGUAGUUAAUAUAGAAUAUGCUAUGCAAUCUGAUUUCUCUUUAGCCCUUCAUUACAGAUAGCACUCAUGAAAUGAGAGAGCAUGUGCAUAGGGUAUUCAAUAUAUUUUUUAUUAAGGGGUAGAGUAACUUAGGGUGUUAUGAUUCAUGAGUAAUAGAACAUCAUAAGAGUUGGAAGUAUGGAUUUAUUGGUUUAAUAAUAAGAAAAGGUGGGGUUAUCAUUUAGUUAGGGAAUAUUGAUGGAUCUAUGUUUGUUUUUAAGUAGGAUUGAGGUGAUUUGUCCUUAUGUGUUAAAUAAGGGGUAGUGAAUGUAGUGUAGGUUUCAUAGUGAAAGGUAGAGAAGAGUUAUUAGUUAAGGUGAAUUGUGAUACGCUAAAAGUAGGAAAGGAGUUCUUGAUGGUAUUCCAUAGUGUUGGAAAAGUAUAUGUUAUUAACGAAAGUAUUAUGUUAUUAAGGAUUGUAAAUGUGGGUUCUCCUUCUGGUUAAUUCUUGUAGGGUUAGGAGAAUAAUUUAGAUAUAUAGAAGUAGUAACGAUGUGUGGGAGGAUGAACUAACGAGUUAUGAUAAGACAGAGCAUAAGAUUAUGAUAAAUCAUUGUUAUUAUGAGGUUAUAGUGGACUAGUGUUUCUUGAUGUUUUAUUUUAUAUCUUCCGAGCAAGAAUAGUGUAUGAAGCUAUGUGGUUAAUCAGGUCUAGUGUUAACACUAUGUUUGAACAAUAGAUGAUCAUCAAGGUGGGAAUAAUGAUUGAUUAAGAUAGUGAAGCUAGAUAUAGGGAAGGUGAGCUGGUAGGUUUGGAAUUAUGUAUGCAAGAAGUUCAUUUUUUUUGCAAUUAAGUAUGAUCGUAUAGAUAUGAUGUAGAGGUGUACCCAAAGUGAUAUGUUUCAUGAUCUGAACCAGGGCCUGAACAUGACAAGUACCUCAAGUCCACCAUAGACUGGAGACCACCCUCAUGGCCUAGUCAACUAGAUUACAAUAUUUCAUAACAGCUGAAUACCAACACACAAUAAGAUAGUAGAAUAUGAUUAAGACACAAAGAAGUCCAUAAGUUCAACAACCAAUCUGAAGCCCACAAUAAUCCACAAAUGUCUCUAAACAUAGAAACACCAAUAAUAAUCUGGACAUGCCCCCAACAAUAGCUAAAAUAAGUCCAAAGUAUGAAAGAUCACCACUUCAAUCAAACUAAUGAGCUAUGCCACAAUCACCUAUUAACUCUGCAAGAGGAGUAGAUGUAAUACCGCGAAGUUUCUUAACUAAUUUUGUUUCUAGAAUGUCAAGUAUUAUCUACUAAAUUAAAUGAUAUAUAUUAUAUGAGGAAUUUUUAAGAUUUUCACUUUUUGUCAUGUGGGAAAUUCAAUAAGAUUUUCAUGGAUAUAAAAUUUUCCUAUAUCCGAUAACUGGAUAAGAAGUUAUGACUAUUUCAAGUUCCCAUCAUAAAAUAGCACCAUAUUAGUCAGUGGCGCACCGCUCCAUUGGAGAAAUUGGCAAUUGUCAAAUUCCAGUAGGGAUACGCGAUAGUGGCACGUUGUGCCAAACUUCCGGAUCUCAAAUGAAGUGGCAACGCGAUGGCUCUGUGUCAUACCAUCCCUCAAUUUCCCAGUUGUCAAAUUCAGUGAUGUGGCGCCAGGGGUCCAAUUCGGGAAAAUUCAUUGAAUUUAAAAGACGCGUUCAGGGUUUAAAGGGUCAAUUUACCACCCUUAUUUAAGCCCUUUAACCUGAUAUUCAGCUAUUUGGAACCAAAAAUAUACUAGUUUCUCUCAAUUUUCUCUCAAGAACAAGCUAGAAUUUCAAUUGGGGAUUCAAUUUCUAGAAAGUCUAUCUGUCAAUCUUCGCUAAAUCAAGAACUAAGGUAUGCGUUGUCUUUAUUUAUGGAUUCUUUUCAUCCAUAAAGCUAAAGAGCCCAAUUUUAAGUUAUGAAUCAUGAUUAUUAUGUUGUGGGUUGCUCAAGUUAUGUGAUGGUUGUUGUUUGAUUCCCAUGUUAGGAUCCUUAUGUGAAAUUAUGAAAACUACGUUAGCAUAUAAAUUGAAAUCCAUAAAUUUGGUGGUUUAUGAUUUGUAAAAUUUGAUGAUUUCACCUAUGCCUUAAGUUGUGUAUGUAAUAUGUUUAAUAAAAUGCCUAAAGGGAUAGAAUUAUGUACCCUAGCUAAAUUAUGACCCAAAUGACAAUGUAUCCUUUAACCUUAUGUUCAAAAUAACUUCCAUGUUAUUCUCAUCUAUUGAAAUUGCUUGUGGAGUUGCUCAUGAGUUAGCCUUAUGAAAUUAUGCUAAAUAUACAUGCUAUCUUAUUCACGUACCAAGAUAUGAUAAUCAAAUUCCCAUGAGAUAUCUCCAACUAUUGUAUUAUGGAUUGUUGAUGUUGGCCGUGUAUUCAAUAAUGUCGUGCCUUGUCAAUUUCCUUCGAUCGAUUCUUGGGGGUACAUGUACCCAAAAAAUAUAACUGUGUGCCUAUAUUUAGUGUCAUGUUUUCACGUAUCCUCCAUCAAGCCAUGGUCCAUAGAACCCAGUCAGUCACGUGACUCAGGAAAGAUCAGUAAUUCAGUAAUCUCAGUAGUAUUCCGUUACCUAAAGGAACUCUAUGAAUUUAGUCUAGCCCAGUUCAGUUUAUCAUGUUUAGUGUCUAUUUAGAUGGGAGUAGGAAUUAGCACCGAGUGAACCCAAGGAUGGGAAAUCACCUAUUAUAUGAGGGUGUGAUUAUUAGAAGUAAUCCUUACGUUACCGAACUACAUAUCCAGCGUAGGUUGAGAUAUCAUAGCCUACUAUAUGAGGGUAGAUGAGGUGGCUUAACCUAUUAUAUGAGGGUUCACACCGUUCUCACUAGAGUUACCUAUUAUAUGAGGGUUACUCACAGAUUGUCCUUACCAAUGGCAUGGUAUUGACACCCUUGGCUACAAAUUGGACCCCAACUCAGCCAUAAUGUCUUAUUAGGGGCAUGUCGGUUAGAUAAUUACUUCCCACAAUUUCAAUUACAAAAUCAGGACUGUUAGGUACAGUCAAUCAGUCUCAGUAUUAGAACUCAGAUAGUUCUACAGAAUUUAGGAUUGUCAGAUACUAUCAACUCAGAACAGUACGAAACUCAGCUAGUUCCAUCAGAUUUAGGACUGCUAGAUACAGUAACUCAUGUAAUCAGUUAUACCAGCCAUCAGAAAUCAGUUAUCAGUCGUGUUAGUUAUCAGUAAAUUCAUGUUAUCACGAUCUUAGAUAUAGUUACUAUGCAUUUAGGCAUGUAUUCUCACGUUCAUAUUAGUUAGUUAUCUAACAUUAUUCAUGCAUAUAAACCCCCCAUAUUCAGCCUACCUCACAUGCAUAUCAGUACAUUCAAAGUACUGACGCAUUUUCGCUAUGGUAUCUUAUACCAUAGAUUCAGAAGCACGAGCUCUAGAGCAUCAGUAGCAUUCUAUUCUUCGUAGUCUAAGUUAGCAAUGAGUCCUCAUCUCUCGAGGACAUUAUCAUUUAUUUAUUAUCUCAUUAAGUAAUUUAUUAGUUGGAGUUAGUUGGAGACAUAUCCCAUCAACUCCUUAUUCAGACAAUUCAGUCAGUUAGAGGCUUUCCAGACUAUGAUGUUUAGACUAUCAAGUUAUUUCAAUUUAGUUUUGGGUAUUUCAUACCCCAUUCAGAUGUUAUAUCUCCAUCAGUUAUGUUACAGUCUUGAACCUUAUGGCCUUUUAGUUCAUGUUUCUGUAAUCAUACAGUAUGUUAUGCAGUAUACAAGUACAAAUGUCAGUCACGGGUUAGCUUGUAGUCCUUCGGGGUCAUGAGCACUGUGUAGCAUUUCGGGUGCUAGAUCCGGGGCAUUACAUUAGAAGUAUGGACAAUUCUUGUGUCGCGUGAGGAUACAACAGCUAAAGACGAUUAGCAGUUGGAGUGAUAGCAGAUAACUCAGGGACAUAGGACAACAUAAUGUCAUGAUUAACAAUUCAAAAUAAUUCAAAUUCUACGCACAUAAUCAAAUGUAUAUGCACACAUAUAUAUAUAAAUAUAUAUAUAUAUAUAUAUAUAUCACAUGCCAUGGUAGGAAACAAGGCUUAACAUGCACUUUAAAACUUUAGCCUAGAUUGUGUAGCUUAACUAUCAUAUAAUAGAACCACGGUCUAUGUGGGCCCAGCUCUCACCCCUGGUCAAGCCCAAGUGCAUGUAGCCGCACGAACCAAAAAAAUAAUACCACAUAUACGUACAGGGGACUCGAACCUCCCAAUCAUAUACUAAGGUGACUUAAACACCCGAUCAUGUAAUGGAAUAUGGGGGAAUAAAAAAUCCCAAUUAUUUAAUAAGGCAGACUCAAACCACCUGGUAAGAAAUGAGGGGAAUCGAACCUCAGAAUAUUUCAAACCUCACGUCGGCAAAUAAGGUUUCCAAUAUUGGUCCAUCAAGACCUCCACUUCCAUGACCUAGAUACACUACUCUCUUUAAAACCAAAUUAAAACAAUUAUCAUACACUCUCCUUCACUGAAACAUUUACACAUUUAGGCAUUCACGGUUUGUAUUGUCAUACCAACUACACUUGCAAGGUAACAUCAACAUACCAAACCAAUAAUCAUCACUUGGGAAAAUUCAUAACCCCCUAUGUUGAAUAUAAAAAUCAUUAUAUUUCAUUAGUUUUUCCAAAUAUGUAGCAGUCUAAGAAUAGUUCAAUGUAAAUACUUUUCAUAUUCAAAACCAAUUUAACAAUAUGGGAUUGAGGUCAUUAACAUUUCAAUUAUCAACAUUCACAAAUUGGGGGAAAUCACAAUCCCCUAGUUUAUUCACCAUACCCAUGCACCCCACAAGUUAAAAAUCAUCAAUAAAGCAUGAAUAAUUUCAUAUAAACCACAGAAAAAGAAAUUACAUCAUUCAUAUUUCAAAAUCCCUCAACCCACAUUAAAAAUCAUCUAUUAAAUUGCAUAGAUACAAUUAUAAAUACAUGUUUUUGAUAAAAUAUUAAUUGGGGAAGAGUAAUAUGUCUUAGACGUAAAGAUUUGUGAGCAAUUGAUAAUUUGGAACCCAAAUGAUUAACGCAAGUUGAAACCAUUAUACUUUCUUGGGGUAUGGAGUUUGUAAGUGACAUAAUCGAUGAUGCGGCAUGAAAACUCAAAGAAAUAUGUCUAUGUAAUGUUUAAAGUUUAUUUAUAAGUGAAAGUACCUCAUUACCCUUCAUUCCAAUUAAAAUUGAACUGAACAACUGAAAUUUACAUAGUUCUGUGGCAUAGGCCUUAUCGCGGAGACUAACCUCGUUACCAUGGAACUUAAUGUGAAGACUAACCUAUAUUUCAUGGAGGCUAUCACAGAAAGCUAGACUCUAUGGCACAUCAAUAUCGUUGAGGCUUACUGCCUCCAUGACCAAAAACCAUCUGAACCCUAUCCAAAAAUUGCAUAACUCUUUCGAGACUCCCCAUUAACAUACUUAAGUAUGAUUUAAGUCAAAAAUCAUUAUUUCAAAUAUAGGGAAGCCAAAAAAUAAAAAAUGAUCAAAUUUUGAGAGUGUUACAUUAUCCCCCAUUUGGGUCUUCAUCCUCGAAUGACAAGCUAGGACACUUUUCGUAUGAGAAUCACAAUAUUACACCAGAAUCAAAUAAUAAACCUGGAUAGUAACAAGGGAACACAAAAUUCGUACCUUAAGAUCCUCCAUCUGAUACAUGGAAUAAGAAUAGGUAUUUAGCCCUCAUAUCUUCCUCUGAUUCCGAGUGGCUUCUUGUAAUUUCUAUUACUCCAAAGGACCUUUAUUGAAGCUACCUCAUUAGUCCGUAACUUCCGAACUUGCUUAUCCAAGAUCUCCACCAGGACCUCCUCAUAUGACAGAGAAUCAGAGGUGCCAACGCUCUCAAUAGGUACCACCAAGGAAGGAUAACCCACACAUUUCUUCAAUAUGGACACAUGAAACACGUGGUGUAUGGAACCUAUACUUGCAGGUAGUUCUAAAUCAUAGGCAACAUUUCCUACUCUCUUCAAAAUCAUAUAGGGGACAACAUAAUAGGGACUGACUUACCCUUCAUACCAAAUUGCAUCACUUCCUUCAAAGUAGACACCAUUAAGAACACCCAACUAACUACAUCAAACUUAAACUCUCUUUACCACACGUUUGCAUAGGACUUUAUGUGAGUCUGAGCAGUCUUAAGCCUAUCCCAAAUCACUUUAACCUUCUCCAAAGCUUGAUGAACAGAAUUUGGUCCGAACAAUCUCGUUUCACUAACUUCAAACCACCCAAUAGGGAAUCUACACCUUCUAUCAUACAACACCUCAAAUGGGGUCACACCAAUACAAGAGUGAUAGCUUUUAUUAUACACAAAUUCUACCAGAGGUAAAUAAUCAACCCAGCUACCACCAAAGUUAAUUUCACAAGCUUGAAUUAUAUCCUUCAAAGUCUAAACAGGCCUUUCUUUUUUCUCAUCCAUCUCCAGGUGGAAAGUGGUACUAAGGCUCACCUUAAUCCCUAAAACUUUAUAAAACAAGCACAAAACUGUGAUAAGAACUGAGUACCAUGUUUAGAAAUAAUAAAAACUAGAGAACCAUGGAACUUCAUAAUCUCUUGAACAAACAACCUUGCAUAGUCCUCCAUAGAAUAAUUAGUCCUCACUGAUAAGAAGUGAGCAAAUUUAGUCAUCCUAUAAACAAUAACCCAAAUUGAACCAAACUAGUUUCGAGUCCUUGGAAGACCGGUAACAAAUUCCAUAUUUACCGUUUCCCAUUUCCAUAUAGGAAACUCGAUUUCUUGAGACAACCGACCAGGCUUCAAGUUCUCCACCUUAACUUGUUGAUAUACCAUGAACUUAGCCACAUAGUUAGUCAUAUCUCACUUUAAGUUAUUCCACUAAUAGAUCUCCUUAAUGUCAUGAUAUAUUUUCAUCGAACCAAGAUGAACCAAAUAACACUAUUCAUGAGCUUUAGCCAAAAUUCUAUCUGAGAACCCAUCUAUAUCGAGAAUAAACAACCAUUCUUGGUACCUCAAUAUGCCAUCACCCCCAAUAUCAAAUGCCAUCACCUUCUGUUUAACCACAUUAUCCUUGAUUCACAUCAACAUAGGGUCUAACACCUACUUCUCUUUUACCUCAACACCUAGAGAUGAUUUUUCCACCUUAUGCACAAAUACACCACCAUCUUCAGAAUCUAAGAGACGAACCCUAAGAUUUUCCAAACGGUGAAUAUCCCUAACCAAGUCUUGCUUCUCCUUUUCCACAUAGGAUAGAAUCCCCAUAGAUGUUCUACUAAGAGCAUCUGCAACCAUAUUAUCCUAACAUGGGUGAUCGUAGAGACUUAUGUCAUAGGUCUUGAGAAACUCAACUCAUCUCCUUUGCCUAAGAUUCAACUCCUUUUGGGUGAACACAUAUUGCAAGAUCUUAUGAUCUGAAUAGAUAUCGACAUGGACCCCAUAUAAAUAAUGAUGACAGGUCUUAAAUUCAAAUACUACAACUAGCAAGUCCAAAUCAUGAGUCGGAUAAUUCUUCUCAUGAAUGAGAAAAGACUAAAUAACUCUUUUAAAAAAAUAAAGAAAAACACUGAUACCAGUCAUAACGACUAAGGUAACGAUUCAUUAGGUUAGGUAAAAAGUCGUGUCCUAGACUCAUUGUCAGAGGUUCUACACCUUGGUGCAACAAUGACAUCCCUCCGUAUGACUCGUUGGUCCUGAUAAUGGGUCAUUAGAAGGAGCCGUUGUUAGGGACUUGAUUUAUGAAUUUCCUUCUAUUGUGAUGGUGGAUCGACCUAAUGAAUCAUUAUGAAUGAUAACGAGUCAUAUGCUGGGCUCAUCACCGUUGAAAUGAAGCUUGGGAUCCCUCAUUAAUGUGGUAACGACUUCAUACAACGACUCGUUAUGUCUGAAAAUGAGUUAUUGAGAGAGUCGUUAUCAGUUGCAGUUGAAAGCCCCUUAAGCAAAUAUUUUAGAACUUCUAGAGCUCAAAAAAUGUAGGGUAUUACAUGUCUCCUUUUUUUCCAAAUUGUAUGUUUUCAAGCUUACCGACUGAAUAAAAUCUACUUGCUUGGUCACUAACAUAAUUAGGUGUUUAAAAGGAUUCUAGACUUUAUAUAUCAUUGAAAUUAAAUGAGUUAUUUCCCUAGAUAGUUUUCAAGGUUCCAAUCAAUUAUAUAGGUUUCCACGACUAAACUUGCUUAUUCUCACUUUUAACCGUGGACUUCUUAUACAAAUUACUUGCUAUAAUCUUAUUUACAAAAGAUUUUUAACACAUAUCAAGUCAUUCUAAAUAGCCAUAAUUCAUUUUAUAUCCUAAGUUUAGUUAUAAAACAUUGAAGACAUAGUAACAUGAAUUAUUUAUAUUAAUGAUCAAGGAAACUUAGUCAUUUUAUUUAUAUUUGGUAAGUUGCCAUAGUUUUAUAAUAUUUGUCCCUAUAUAUAGUUUGCAACUCCUCAAUCUCAAAAUCAGAGCCACAAAGAUACUAUUAUUUGGAAUCAUGAGGAACUUCUCAAGCAUAGUUGUCUUUCUCUUUUCCCUUUUCAUUGUUCUCAGUAAGUUCCAUUUUAAUUUACAUAAUCUUUUCAAUUAAAUAAAAACAUAUAGUGACCCUAUGUAGAACAAUUAGUUCAUCAUUUUUAGAACAAUAAAAAAGUAAAAUAUUUAUUAUAGUAUGUCUUGUAAAGUUUGCAGUAUUUUACUAAUUAAAGCAGAAUGACGAUUAGUUUUCAAAUUUAUAGGAUGUUAUUCUAUUCUUUUGUACAUGAUGGAAUGGUCUAACCGAAUUUUUGUUAUGAUGGAUCAUCCUACUAUUGUUUUGACUAUAGGUAAAAAUAAACGAUUAUUAUUAAAAAAAUGAAUAACCUUGAUUUGAUGUAAUCUAAUGAAGUGGUCACAUGAAUAUGUAAAAUUCACCUAUUAACAUUGUGGUCAUUGGUUACAAAUUUUAUUUCUCCUAGCGAAUUAAUUGUUUCUCCUUUCUUUCUUUGUCCAAACAAAUUAAGGCACUAAGCAGACAGGAAUGCAGGUUGAAGGAAAAGAAUGUCGAGUUCCGCUUCCAGGAGCUGUCAAACCUUGUGACCCAACAAAAUGCAACACACAAUGCUUUGAUAAGUACCAAAAUAAGCCUAAUCCUCCUGGUAUUACAGGAAC